CAACUGAGCUGUUGAGUUUCAUUUGCCACAUCGCGUGUUUCGUCAGUUUGGUCUGUUCCAGCCUCACCCGCCGGAAUGGGUGGAUACGGACAAAGCACUUCAUAGGUUGGACAGGAGAAGGCAGCGGAAGAUAAAGGACUGGGACAAGCAUCAUGCUUCGUAUGUUACCCGCUUCCAGCUUUGCGUGGAGCAAGCUCGUAGCAGUGCACGCGCCCAGCUUCGUGAGCAUAACCCACUUGCUUUUGAUAACUACAUACGAUGGCUUCUUGAAAAUACUCGAGUUGAGAUAUGCCCGCCGGCAUAUAAUGAGGAUAUUCUUGAAGAACCCGUGAACUUUGAGGAUCUAUCAAAGGGGAAGUACAACAGAGAUGUCAGGGUAGGGCAAGGAGUCCCUGCUGUUCCGGUGAUUAACUAUGUGGUAAAGUGUUCCUUCUUUACUUUCCCGUUGGCCGUAUUACACAUGUCUGAAUGGCUAACGUGUUCAUUCUUUCUCAUCCGCAGCGCAGCGAGAUCAAGAAAGCAGCUGAUGAGAGCCAGUCUAUUCUGGAGAACACACCGGUUGGAAAAGGCAAUGAUGAUGGUUCACUACGAGCAUUCCUCAAGGUACAUAUCGCAUUCACUAUGAGAGCCAGUCUAUGUUGCGGAGUUUGAUAUCUUCCACACUUGUUCAUGUUACAGCGUCAGGCCAGGAAGUUAAGGCGGUUAUCGAAUCUUCUCGGUUGCCGUGAUCCCGAAUUUGAUGAACCAUCUGCCUCUAGGUCUGGUACACCAUCAGACCCCUCAUCUCACCAUUAGGGGGACGAUGUGAGUUCCUCAUAUGCUUAUCUGGAUGAUGAUGGCGUGGUCACCCAAGAGGGCCAUGAGCUUGAUGAUGACAUGACUUUGGCGGACGCUCAACUUCGGUCCCCAUAUGUGUUCAAGCCUAGGCAGCCCAGACGCCGGUACACGCCCAACGACUUUGACAACAGAGGCAACCCAAAGGUGGUCGUAGGGACCUCGCGGAUGGCUAGCUUGGAUCAUGAGGCGGAGGCGGAGGAGGAAGUGCAGGAAGAGGAGGCUCGUCCACCCAGGAAGAAGAAGAUUGCCUGCAGGCGUGGCACCAGGAACACGCGCGGAAGGCAGUAGUGCUUGUGUUUGUUAGUGCUCUUGUAGCCGUUUCAUUAGGUCGAUGAACUUGUGAGGUUAUGUUAUAUGUUGGUGAAUUCUUACUAGUGUGGUAUUUGUGUUUGCGAACUAGUAGUAAUGUUGAAUUGUCCUAAAUGAUGUGAUGUUCAAGUUAUUAGUUGUCUUUGUUCA